GAAAUUUUUAUCCACUAUGACUUUCAAGAGCAUAUAAAAUCUAAGAAUGUUCCUUAUAAGCCAUGACAGAAAUUGGAUGCUACAUAGCAUGUUCAAGUACAGAGAAAUUGAACAAAUCAAGAUUGUCAGCCACACAUUCUCUCAGCUAUAGUAGCAAAAAAUUGUUUAUGUUUCCUUAUUAUGAGUCCAUUAAUUAUGCUGCUUUUUUGCUCAAUUCUUGUGCAUCAAGUUAUCAUCAGUACAAGUGAAUGAAUGCCACACCCACACCAACCCAAAAAGGCCUCUAAUUUUCAUGUGUUGCAAGAACAAAC
rnacentral:misc_RNA from 1 species